rnacentral:rRNA from 1 species
UUCCGGUUGAUCCUGCCAGACCCGACUGCUAUUUGGGUGAGAAUUAGCCAUGCGAGUUGAAUGGGGUACCUAAAUAUCCCAUAGCAAACUGCUCAGUAACACAUGAUCAACUUACCCUAUAGAGAAGAAUAACCUCGGGAAACUGAGGAUAAUGCUUCAUAGUUGAAACGGCUUGGAAAAGUUUUUCAAUUAAAAGAAUAAGGAAAAUGGUUCUUAUUCGCUAUAGGAUAGGAUCGUGGACGAUUAUGGUUGUUGGUGAGAUAACGGCUCACCAAGCCGAUAAUCGGUAGGGGCCGUGAGAGCGGGAGCCCCGAGAUGGGUACUGAGACAACGACCCAGGCCUUACGAGGCGCAGCAGGCGCGGAACCUCCGCAAUACACGAAAGUGUGACGGGGUUACCCAAAGUGUUCAAUUUUGAACUGUGGUAGGUGAGUAAUGUUCCCUACUAGAAAGGAGAGGGCAAGGCUGGUGCCAGCCGCCGCGGUAAAACCAGCUCUUCAAGUGGUCGGGAUAAUUAUUGGGCUUAAAGUGUCCGUAGCCGGUUUAGUAAGUUCCUGGUAAAAUCGGGUAGCUUAACUAUCCGUAUGCUAGGAAUACUGCUAUACUAGAGGGCGGGAGAGGUCUGAGGUACUACAGGGGUAGGGGUGAAAUCUUAUAAUCCUUGUAGGACCACCAGUGGCGAAGGCGUCAGACUGGAACGCGCCUGACGGUGAGGGACGAGAGCCAGGGGAGCGAACCGGAUUAGAUACCCGGGUAGUCCUGGCCGUAAACGAUGCAUACUAGGUGAUGAUGCGGCCAUGAGCCGUAUCAGUGUCGUAGGGAAACCGUUAAGUGCGCCGCCUGGGAAGUACGGUCGCAAGGCUAAAACUUAAAGGAAUUGGCGGGGGAGCACCACAAGGGGUGAAGCCUGCGGUUCAAUUGGAUUCAACGCCGGA